rnacentral:tRNA from 1 species
GGAGGGUAUAGCUCAGUGGUAGAGCAUGUGCUUAGCAUGUAUGAGGUCCUGGGUUCAAUCCCCAGUACCUCCA